CGGGCCGGAAUGUAAGAUGGCAGAGUAGAGACGCGAGUGCUUAGUACUGAGUCUCUGGGCCCACUCGGUUCGGGUCUCGGCGGCAGCAGCAGUGAUCGUUAAGCAAAGAGAGCCUAGGGUAGUUGGCCAAGAUGCCGAACAUCAAAAUCUUCAGCGGGAGCUCCCACCAGGAUCUAUCCCAGAAGACUGCCGACCCCCUGGGCCUGGAACUGGGCAAGGUGGUGACUAAGAAAUUCAGCAACCAGGAGACCUGUGUGGAAAUCGGAGAAAGUGUUCGUGGAGAGGAUGUCUACAUUGUUCAGAGUGGCUGUGGUGAAAUCAAUGACAAUCUCAUGGAACUUUUGAUUAUGAUUAAUGCCUGCAAGAUUGCUUCAGCCAGCCGGGUUACUGCAGUCAUCCCAUGCUUCCCUUAUGCCCGGCAGGAUAAGAAGGAUAAGAGCCGGGCUCCAAUCUCAGCCAAGCUGGUUGCAAAUAUGCUCUCUGUAGCAGGCGCGGAUCAUAUCAUCACCAUGGACCUUCAUGCUUCUCAAAUUCAGGUCUUUUUUGAUAUCCCAGUCGACAAUUUGUAUGCAGAGCCAGCGGUCCUCAAGCGGAUAAGGGAGAACAUCUCUGAGUGGAGGAACUGCACAAUUGUCUCACCUGAUGCUGGAAGGGCAAAGAGAGUGACUUCCAUCGCAGAGCGGUUGAAUGUGGACUUUGCCUUGAUUCACAAAGAACGGAAGAAGGCCAAUGAAGUGGACCGCAUGGUGCUAGUAGGGGACGUGAAGGACCGUGUGGCCAUCCUCGUGGAUGACAUGGCUGACACUUGUGGCACAAUCUGCCAUGCAGCUGACAAACUUCUCUCAGCUGGAGCCACCAGGGUUUAUGGUAUCCUGACUCAUGGAAUCUUUUCUGGCCCAGCCAUUUCUCGUAUUAAUAAUGCAUGCUUUGAAGCAGUAGUAGUCACCAAUACCAUACCUCAGGAGGAUAAGAUGAAGCAUUGCUCCAAAAUACAGGUGAUUGACAUCUCCAUGAUCCUCGCGGAAGCCAUCAGGAGAACUCACAGUGGAGAGUCCGUCUCCUAUUUGUUCAGCCAUGUCGCUUUAUAAUAGAACAACUCCUGAGGCUUUUCAAAAAUAAAGUGAGCCCCA